GACGAACGCUGGCGGCGUGCUUAACACAUGCAAGUCGAACGGAAAGGCCCUGCUUUUGUGGGGUGCUCGAGUGGCGAACGGGUGAGUAACACGUGAGUAACCUGCCCUUGACUUUGGGAUAACUUCAGGAAACUGGGGCUAAUACCGGAUAGGAGCUCCUGCUGCAUGGUGGGGGUUGGAAAGUUUCGGCGGUUGGGGAUGGACUCGCGGCUUAUCAGCUUGUUGGUGGGGUAGUGGCUUACCAAGGCUUUGACGGGUAGCCGGCCUGAGAGGGUGACCGGCCACAUUGGGACUGAGAUACGGCCCAGACUCCUAGGGGGGGCAGCGGGGGGGAAUUUUGCAAAAGGGGCGGAACCCUGAGGCAGCAACGCCGGGGGGGGGAUGACGGCCUUCGGGGUGUAAACCUCUUUCGCCUGUGACGAAGCGUGAGUGACGGUAAUGGGUAAAGAAGCAGCGGCUAACUACGU
rnacentral:rRNA from 1 species